GCCCAGGUAGCUCAGUUGGUAGAGCAGCGGACUGAAAAUCCGCGUGUCGGUGGUUCAAAUCCGCCCCUGGGCA
rnacentral:tRNA from 1 species